AAAAAAGCUGUAUAUCUUGGUAUGGACGUAUGAAUACCCAAAGAACUUUCAAAUUUCAUGGUAUGAGAUCCUUAAGACUCUUACUGUACCUUGACCUUCAAAUUUUAAUCUGUUUUAAUUAUAUGUCUGCUUACUUAUGUAUAUAGCCUGCCUCCUUUCACAGACUAUUUAAGCCAGCCAAGCUUUAACUUGUUCAGAACCUUAGGUGGUGUUCAAACCAACGAAGACUGCAUUCCUCAAGUCUUCAGAAGGAAUAUAAAAAGUUGCUAAGUUAUGCAGUGAAAAUACAAGUAUCAUUUUUUCCAGAUUACACAAAGUUAUUAGCAGUGGUGAUUCAGAUAUUUCCUGUGAAAUACGCUGUGGGUAAAUGUAUUACAGACCCAUGUAGAUCGAACAGUUUACGCCCUGCUUCCAGCUAAAACGUAUUACAAGGAAUAAGAGAUAGAAUUCUGCCCUGGUGCCAUUUGGGCUACGCAGACCACAGUGGGAGAGUCUCUGGUUGGAAUCACCACCGUCCUUGAAGGUGACUGGCUACCCCCUGAACUCUGCCUGGUAACAAGAAGAGGAUAAGGAGUUUCCCUGCUAUCCCAGUUACUGACGGUCACUGAAAUGAUGAAUCCUGCCCGAUUUAGUGCUUUUACAAAUCGAGAUCAUAUGAAAGAUUUCCGAAGGUACCUGGCAUUCAAAUAUAUCCAGUAUCUAGUCCUACCUUCUACAAACAUCAUCGUUACUCUGCUGGGACUGUUUGCCAGUCUGUAUGUCACACUGAUACUGAUGUCACCUUCUGUAUCCAGAAAAUCCACUGCAGUGUUUAUUUGCAACAUAGCUCAGGCAGACAUGUUAGUUGUCGGCAGCAUCUUUUCUGCCAUAAUUCAACAUGUAAUAAAGAACAACAUAUUAUUGUCUUCCUUUCAGUCAGCCUUGAGGCAAAAUUUCCAGAUUGCAAAUAUACAUAUCAGUUCACUUUUACUCAGCUGUGUGAGCCUCGAGGCCUUUCUGAUCACUUUUCUUCCAGCAGAAACACGCCACAUAAGAACAGUUAGAAGUGCCAGGGUGGUUUCUAAAAUUAUUUGGAUUACUGUAAUUACUGAGUGUUUUUUUUAUCAGAUAGAGUGUGUCAAAGAACUGGGCAUUUCUUCUCUUGGCAUGCACAAGAAAAUUGUGUUGUUGCUAAAUUUCUGUUUCGGAGCCACAAAGCUACUGAAAUCACUCAUUUACCCAAUUGGGCUACUUUUAAGGAUCUUCAAUGUGUAUCUUUUUUAUAAAAUAUAUUUCAGAGCUGUACCUUGAAACAGUCUGUGGUAGUUGAUUGUAUAGGUCAACUUGACUACACUAUGGUGCCCAGUUCUUUAGUCAGACACUAAUUUAGAUGUUGCUAUGAAGAUAUUUUGUAGAUGUGAUAUGCAUAUAUGAUUAGUUGCCUUUAGGUGAAAGAAAUCACCCUUAAUAAUGUUGGUGGGCCUCAUCUAAUCAGUUGAAUAUCCUAUGAAAAACAACUGAGGUUUCACAGUUAAGAAGAAAUUCUGCCUCAAGACUGGUAACAUAGAAAUCCUGUUUGAAUUUCCACCCUAGUCACCUGCCCUACAGAUUUUAGAAUCAAGACUCCAUCACCAAUUCUUGUCUGAAGCUUCUGUCUGCUUUACAAAUUUUGGGCUUUCUAGACCCCACAAUCAUGUGAGUCAAUUACUUAAAGAAUGAAAAUAAAAAA